UGAGGAACAUGACCUUCGGCGGGGGAUAGCCGGCCCAACGGCCGGGUAAUACCGCGUACGACCACAUGGGGACAUCCCUGAGUGGUGAAAGCAGCAAUGCGCCGAUGGAGUGCCUCGCGGCCUAUCAGCUAGUUGGUGAGGUAACGGCUCACCAAGGCGACGACGGGUAGCUGGUCUGAGAGGAUGGCCAGCCACAUUGGGACUGAGACACGGCCCAGACCUCCGUAGGGAGG
rnacentral:rRNA from 1 species